CACAAAGACAGUUUGCUUCGCGCGGAUCUCAAUCCAUAACCUUUACUGGUCUCUGUAGAGUCAUUACGACCAUUAGGCUGUGGACUCAGCACUGCUUUAGCUCUUAAGUUAAUACAACCGAGACUUUUUUACUUUCCUAUUGGGAAGGAACAUGUGCAAUUUUAGUGAUUUCUUAGAUCAUUCCAUAAGUAAAUCAAAUAUUCUUUCAAGCCCAGUUAUCAAAAUUGUGUCCUUUGAUACCACGUCUUCCAUCAAACUGCGGUGCAUGCAGUAUCUGUCCCUGGUGUAGCAGAUGGAGGGAACCAUCCAGCAGCAAGGAGACCAGCUCACCACAGGACCCUAUCAUCUCCUUUUAGGGAAGCAGCCAGAGCGCCAGAAAAGGUUAGGAUCAAUUCAGAAUGAACUGUUCACUGGAAUUAUCAACGAUUAUUCAGUAACAAAUCUAAAAUUUCCAUCUGAAUUUUAAUUAAAAGAGCCGCUAAAUGUGCCAAGUCAGUUGGCACAUAUGCACAAUUUUUUUUUCACAGUUAUAAAAUUUUCUGGCAUGAUGUUGAGAAUUGCCUGAACCCAAGAGCAUUUGCAGGCUGAAAUGUUGACAUUCCUCCUCCUUAAUCCAAGAACCAGAGGGUGCUUGGGGUGAAAGUUGUUUGCUUUCAACAACUAGUGACAUUUAUAAGUCAAAAUGCUCAGCUGCUUGACAGGGAUGGACAGGUGGGUUAUGCCCAAAGCAACCGAUCAACCAGCACCAUCUCCUGAGCUCCUGUGGCUCGCCAGUAUGUGAGAUAAGGAGCCUGCCCUCCAGCGACUGUCCCUCUUCAUGAGAGGACUGUCUUCACAGAGAGGAGGUGUGAAGUCAGAAAGCACUGCCGGAGACAGCCUCAGUCCUCCCAGGGAUUGGUAACAACAGGAAGAGCAAUUCACACAACAGGCUGUUACAAUUUCUACAACCCCACCAGCUUACAUAGGAGGGGGCUUCGCUAGAAGGUGGCUUCCAGAUGACAGUUCCGUUGAUAUGUCCAGAUGAGACCAUGUGGUCACUCCAACACCUACAGAGACAAGAUAAGUGACUGGAAGCUCCAGAGCAAGCUGUUCCACUACGUUUGACCUGAUAGGUGAAAAGUACCUUCCUUAUAUUGGGCUAAACACUUCAGCUCCUGUUCGCUUCCACCCACUGAUCCUGGUUUUAGCUUCGAGGCUCCAUAGAAAAAUUCUAGUAUUCCUCUUCUAUGUGACAUGCAUUUGAAGACAAUUAUAGUGCUAUUUUGAGUCCGCUCUUCUUCAGAAUAAAGAAGUACAGUUCCUUCUGCUCUUUCUCCAAUGACAUGAUUUCAGCCUCACCACCUUGUUGAACACACUCGUUUUUUACUGAACGUGAUUCUCGGGACGUGGUCUGCCUACAGAAGAACACGAUUACUUCCUCCCCUGCUGAAUGCUCCAGCCGCGCCCACGCUACCCACAGCUUCCUUCUCUCCACACUGUUGGGUUAUACUGAG
rnacentral:lncRNA from 1 species